rnacentral:rRNA from 1 species
UACGUAGGGGGCAAGCGUUGUCCGGAAUUAUUGGGCGUAAAGAGCUCGUAGGCGGUGUGUCGCGUCGGCCGUGAAAACCUGCAGCUUAACUGUGGGCUUGCGGUCGAUACGGGCAUCACUGGAGUUCGGCAGGGGAGACUGGAAUUCCUGGUGUAGCGGUGAAAUGCGCAGAUAUCAGGAGGAACACCGGUGGCGAAGGCGGCUACCUGGCCCAAUACUGACACUCAGGUGCGACAGCGUGGGGAGCAAACAGG